CAGUCGCCGCGGUAAUACAGAGGAUGCAAGCGUUAUCCGGAAUGAUUGGGCGUAAAGCGUCUGUAGGUGGCUUUUCAAGUCCGCCGUCAAAUCCCAGGGCUCAACCCUGGACAGGCGGUAGAAACUACCAAGCUAGAGUAUGGUAGGGGCAGAGGGAAUUUCCGGUGGAGCGGUGAAAUGCGUAGAUAUUAGAAAGAACACCGAUGGCGUAGGCAGGCGACUGGGAUAUUUCUGACGCUAAGGCACGAAAGCGUGGGUAGCGAACCGGAUUAGAGACCCCCGUAGUCCCUGUCUCUUAUAC
rnacentral:rRNA from 1 species